UGUCAGCCCUUUUGGUCCUACCAUAGUGCUAUAUUGCAAGUACCCUUCCAAGAAGUGUCAAGGUCAUUGGCCACAGAAAUUACGUCAAAUCACGUUAUAUGUACAGUAGCUUUGAUUGAACUGAUCAAGUCAACAUCUUAAUUUCACAACCUUAGCAAGCAGUCAUCAUCGUGAAUCAAGUCUACUGGCAAAUCCUUUUUAAUCCUUGUCAUAUGAAGAGAAAAUAUAGAUAAAAACGUAGAGCAAAUGUAACGAUGAGUUGUUUGGAAGGAAUCGGUGACAGUGGCUAACCGCAAGCAUUGCAACUGGGAAGUCAGACUGGGAAAUAUGUUUUGAGCGGUCAUCCGACUCGGAAUUGUAAACCUUUUUCUUUGAUGACAAAAUUUGCCAAGAAGGACCACCGCGCACAACAAAGUUUGGAUCAAGGGACCAACGGGACUGCCACGGGCAAGUACCUUGACGGGUACCAGGAAUGGUGCAAGGACAAUCUGAAGCCCAAGGACCAUACCUCAGGACUACCUGGUCUGGUAUGGCACCCUGACCUGUUCAUCGGACGUGCUACCUUGUUCCGGACCUGCUGUUUUCUUCUCUGUUUCUGUCUUUCUCUCUAAAUAUAAAUAUGGGUUGCAUUUACAAUGGUGUUUGUUCUUCACUGGUUGCCCUUUUAUUGUGGCAACAGGUCACAAAUCUUGCUGCUGUGAUGGCACACUGUGGUAUUUCACCCAAUAGAUAUGUUUUCUAAUUAUUUGUGGGUCUGUAAUUUGAAGAAAAUAUGUAUCUCUAAUAUGGUCAUACAUUUGGCAGGAGGUGAGGAAGUGCAGCUCAGGUUCCACCUCAUUUUCUGGGCAGUGUGCACGUUUUCUCUUGAGAGCCAGGUCUGCCUACGGCGGCCUCUCUCAGUGGCAAGGCUAUGCUCACUGAGUCAGUACAUAGUCAAAUCUCUCCUUAAUUUGGGGUCAGUCAGGGUAGUCUGGUAUUCUGGCACUGUGUACUCUCUGUUUAGGGCCAAAUAGCAUUCUAGUUUGCUUUGUUGUUUUGUUAAUUCUUUCCAAUGUGUCAGGUAAUUUAGUUUUCUCGUGAUUUGGUUGGGUUUAAUUGUGUUGCUGUCCGUAAAUAUAUAUAUUGAUUGCAGUUAUUCCCGAACGAGUGAGCAUUCAUGUGCAAAGGAUUAGCGUUUCAAUUAUUAUAAUUAUCAACUGUGUAGUGACUCUGGUCUUUCCCGGCCUUCUCAGUCCACACCCACUUCACUUAUU